rnacentral:lncRNA from 1 species
CCCACUUUGCACCGUUUUUUUUUUUUUGCCAACCCAAACGACAUCCAUUUGACUUGAAUUUUGGAUAUGUGCUAGAAUAGUAUGGACACUUUCAUAUGCCCAGCGUUCAGUCUGGAAAAUUUCAGUUUUCUAGGCGAUGCCCGGCGCUGAAAGUUCUAGUUUGGUCAUGGGUCACUUCUAUCAAAGUGUAUGUUUUGAGCUAAUUUUUGUUGGUGUUUCACAUUCCUUUGAUACUACCACUAGCUUGGAACAUGUUUCAUGCAUUUUACACAUCAUCGUCAAGUACAUGUAUUUUGAAGCACAUUUGAGGGAUUUGUGCAAUGCAUACUUUAUUUUCUCACUCCAUGCGUAUUCUUUUCACAUUAAACUUAAUGAGUGUAGUUUUACAAACUUUGCAGGAUGCCUCCUCAGAGGACUUCGCACAGGAAAGAAAAUCAGGCUCCUCCAUUGGGACAGCCUGUACUCGAGAGCUCGCGGGAGAAGUUCAGCGAUUCUUAACUGCAACUACCGUGGCACGAUAUGAAAACAUCGUACGCCAUUAGACUUUACAUGCUGAAAAACCCGUUAAGCUUGAUGACUUCCCAAGUUUUGAGUUGGUCAACUUUGUUCAGAUCUGUGGGUGGCAAAAGUUGGUGGAGAGACCACAUCCACUCUAUGAGACUUUAUGCCGAGAGUUCUUCGCCAACUUCAACAGUGACAUUGAUACGCCAGGCUCCGAGCAUUUCCAUCAGACUUGGGUGCAGGAAAAAUGGAUUAUGUUCUCUCCCGAGGUCAUUCAUAAUUACUACCAGCUUACCAUAGAGAAUGUGAUUCCUCUCCCAAUUGACUUUCACUGGAAUGAAGUGGCUGAGGUUUUAAUGGGGCGAGAGAAUGCAUGGCCCCUCGAAACUACCAAGUGGCAUCAGAUUGAGUUUAUCCCUUCCAUAGCGAUUCUAUGGCUCUUUAUGUGCCACAAUAUCGAGCCCAUAUCACACAGGACUACAUUCCCAGAUCAGACAUCAGGAUUCAUCUACCACUUGGCUCAGGGCAACAAGAUUGAUCUCACUACUCAUAUAUACAAUCAACUACACUCAUUGGGAACUUGGAGAGAUCGUCGCUUUACUUUGAUAUUCCCGAGCCUCAUUAGUGGCAUAUGUCAGGCUGCGGGUGUUGCCCUCUUACUUGAGGAGUUACCUGAAAAAUCCAGCCUCGUGAUCAAACGAACUACAUUUGACGCUCAGACAAAACACAGAGAAGAGCAAGAAAAUGAGCGACGUAGACAGCAGGUAGAACAAGGCCAAAUCCCUUCAGAUCAGGAACACCCACGGGCUCCAGCACCACAAGCUGACGUGGAUAAUCAAUUGCUAAGACAGAUAUUCUCCACCACUACAGGCAUUAGCCGAGACUUUCACAGUUUCUUUCAAGAUUUUGGCAACAUGACGAUUGAAUUGAGAAGUUUACAAAGAGACAAUCACCUUGCGUUGAACUAUAUUAGAGAUGUCAGGGAUCAUGCUACAGUCAUGCGACGGGAGGUUGAUACCAUGAAUGGUCGGCUGAACAUGUAUGUUGGUCGGGUGGACGGUAUCCAAAUGAGGGUCAAUGAAACUUGGGAGAGCAUGAGAGCUAUCUAGGCCGAGCAGACACAACAGUCUACCUUGAUGCGGGAACUGAGUGAGAUGAUGCGGCAGCUCCUUGGACGAUACCCUCCUCUGCCAGAUGAUGGUACAGCAGGACCCAGUUUUCCGCCACCUCAUCCAUUUUGAUUCAAGGGAAGUAUUAUUUACCACAUUUUGAUUUUCCCUUUUAUGUUGUCCGUAAAAUUCUAUCUUUAAUUUUCUGUUAAUUUUACAUUGAGGACAAUGUAGUAACAAAGUUUGGGGAGGUGACAUAAUUUUAUAAUUUUAACUAAGUAUUUGUGUUCAUCGGUAUCUGUAUUCCACAGUGUGUGCAUAAUGAAAAAAAAUUACCUAUGCAUUUUAUUUAGUUUUGCUUUAAUUCUUUUCAUGCAUGCUUGUGUGGGCUUGAUAACCUUACUAGCUAUGAUGUUAUAAUUGGACUAGUUUAAAUUGUAAAAACGUUGGAUCUGAUGCAACUAUGCUAACUGACACUUGUUGAUGCAAAAUUUGACAUUAUCUGUGCACACUAUUCAUGCUUGACAUGUUAGAUAAAUGAUUGGAUUUUGAGCAUAAAAUAGGAAAAGAAUGAUAACCUCCUAUUGAAUUAAACCGUAAACUGCCUUAAGACAGUUUGGUGAUGGUUGAGCUAUUGUAAAGGAGCGUUGAGAUGAGAGGAGGUUCCGUGCAUAAAUUUUAUUGUGUGGAUUAUCUAGACCAGUGAGGUGAAGAUUAGGUGAAAAUCUUAAAUUAAGGGUUAGUUUUGGAAACUAAAUGUCUAGAACAAUAAGGGCAUAAAAUAAAUUUGUGAGAACAAUACACUUCUUUUCAUGCCUUUAUGACUCGAGCAAGUAAGCCUGUAAAAAUAUUUCAAAAUCUGGUGCCCUAAAGUCAACUGGCUUGGGAGUCACCGGCCUAAAACUCGCUAAAAGGGUCAUAUAGAAAGCAAGAGGGAAAGAGGUUAAUAGAAAGUCAUCAGAUCGAGCCUUUAUAACUCGAGUGAAUAAGCCUACAAGGGUUUAAAAUCUGGUGCCCUAAAGCCAACUGGUUUGGGAGUCACCGGUCUAAAACUCGUUACAUGGGUUAUAUAAAAAGCAAAUGAGAAGAUUAAAAUAAAAAAAAAUGAGUAGCUUAAUAAUAAAAUCAGAAAAAUUAGAGAAAAGAGAGAUGAUAACAUGAAGAAAAGCCCUUGGACAUUUGGUUAAAGAAACUAUUCCUUUGAAGCAAGGCAAGUAUCCUAGUUUAAUCUUGAGUGUCGAAGCGAUCAAACUUAGGAAAGCCUUCACUUAUUGAAAUGUAAAUUUGUGAUAGUGGGAUUAAUCCAAACUACGAGAGGGUGAAGACUACAGCUAUGUAAAUUCCUAAUUUUAAAAUACAAUCCUGGGAUAAUUGAGUGAAAAAAAAAAAACAUAAGUUUGGG